rnacentral:rRNA from 1 species
UACGUAGGGUGCAAGCGUUAAUCGGAAUUACUGGGCGUAAAGCGUGCGCAGGCGGCUUUGCAAGUCAGAUGUGAAAUCCCCGGGCUUAACCCGGGAACUGCAUUUGUGACUGCAUGGCUGGAGUGUGGCAGAGGGGGAUGGAAUUCCGCGUGUAGCAGUGAAAUGCGUAGAUAUGCGGAGGAACACCGAUGGCGAAGGCAAUCCCCUGGGCCUGCACUGACGCUCAUGCACGAAAGCGUGGGGAGCAAACAGG